rnacentral:rRNA from 1 species
UAACCUGGUUGAUCCUGCCAGUAGUCAUAUGCUUGUCUCAAAGACUAAGCCAUGCACGUCUAAGUACAAACUAAAUGAUGGUGAAACUGCAAAUGGCUCAUUACAACGGUUAUGAUGUACCCGGGAGUUCCGAUGGAUAUUUCCAGUAACACUAGAACUAAUACAUGUCCCUGCGUUUAUUAGUUUCACACAGUCCGUCGCUGAGUCAUGGUAAACAGUUGAUCGACUCGACGUCCCGGAACAGUUUCCGCCCCAUCAGCUUCGAUGGUUGGGUAUUGGCCUACCAUUGCAACAACGGGUAACGAGGAAUUAGGGUUUGAUUUCGGAGAGGGAGCCUGAGAAACGGCCACCACAUCUACGGAUGGCAGCAGGCGCGCAAAUUACCCAAUGCAGACACUGUGAGGUAGUGACGAGAAAUAAUAAAGCGGGACUUCUGUUUCGCUAUUAUAAUGAGGAAUAACCAAAGGUCAUUCCGAUUAGCAACUGAUGGGAAAGUCUGGUGCCAGCAGCCGCGGUAAUACCAGCGUCAGUAGCAUAUAUUAAAAUUGUUGCAGUUAAAACGUCCGUAGUCUGUACGUCGUCACCAACUCACUGCAGUCUUCCGUCUUCUUGAUUGAAUGCGGUAGUGCCUGCAGUCACUCCCUUGAUCAAAUUAAGUUGUUCAAGGUAGACCAAGUCUUCAUAAUUUCACAUGGAAUUGGGUGAGGGAACUUAAGAGUUUAAGUUUCUCGUCUUAGGAUCAUCCAGGGUCAUUCGUACUCGUCCGCGAGAGGUGAAAUUCUUGGACCGGACGAAGACGACCAGCAGCGAAAGCAUCUGUCAGGGAUGUUUUCUGCGACAAAGGACGAAGGUCAGGGUAUCGAAGACGAUUAGAUACCGUCGUAGUCCUGACUGUAAACUAUGCCAACUUGGGUCUUGCUGGGCUAAUGCUUUGUGAGACCCACACAGAAAUGAAAGUGUAUGGGUUCUGGGGGUAGUAUGGACACAAGUCUGAAACUUGAAGGAAUUGACGGAAGAGCACCAUAAGACGUGGAGCUUGCGGCUUAAUUUGACUCAACGCGGGAAAACUUACCAGGUCAAGACAUGGGCGUGAUUGACAGGCUAAUGACUUUUCUCGAUUCCAUGGAUGGUGGUGCAUGGUCGCACUCAGUUGGUGCAGUGAUUUGUCAGGUUUAUUCCGGUAACGAACGAGACCUCGGCCUUGUAACUAGCUUGCUGCUUACAGGGACAUUGGCGGCUACGCCAAGGAAGCUCGAGGCAAUUGCAGAUCUGGAAUGCCCUUAGAUGUCCUGGGUCGCACGCGUGCUACAAUGACGCCACGAACGAGUUUGCGUGACGAAAGUCACGCAUAAUCAGAAGUCGGCGUCUUAAGGGACAGUCUCUUGUAACUGUGGGACUCUAACUAGGAAUGUCUCGUAAGCACAAGUCAACAUCUUGUGUUGAUUACGUCCCUGCUCUUUGUACACACCGCCCGUCGCUCCUACCGAUCGAGUGUUUAGGUGAAUUUGAUGGACGUCAGGAAGUCAAAUAAAUCUGAGCACUUAGAGGAAGGAGAAGUCGUAACAAGGUUUCCGUAGGUGAACCUGCAGAAGGAUCACUUCUGCAGGUUCACCUACUGGCAGGAUCAACCAGGUUA